rnacentral:rRNA from 1 species
AACAAACGCUGGCGGCGUGCCUAAUACAUGCAAGUCGAACGGGGAAAGCUUUCGGGUGAGUACUAGUGGCGCACGGGUGAGUAACGCGUGGAUAAUCUGCCUUAGAGUGGGGGAUAACUAGUCGAAAGAUUAGCUAAUACCGCAUAAGACCACAGGAGCUGCGGCUCAAGGGGUCAAAGGUUUCUCGCUUUAAGAUGAGUCCGCGUAAGAUUAGCUAGUUGGUGAGGUAACGGCUCACCAAGGCGACGAUCUUUAACUGGUCUGAGAGGAUGAUCAGUCACACUGGAACUGAGACACGGUCCAGACUCCUACGGGAGGCAGCAGUAGGGAAUAUUGCACAAUGGAGGAAACUCUGAUGCAGCGACGCCGCGUGAGUGAUGAAGGCCUUCGGGUCGUAAAGCUCUGUCGCAGGGGAAUAACACAAUGAAGGUACCCUGUAAGAAAGGAUCGGCUAACUUCGUGCCAGCCGCCGCUGUAA